ensembl:lncRNA
CUGGGAGCACAAAUCAGAGCUCUGCAACGAACCACAUGAUCAACCAGGAUGAAUCUCAAAAUGGUCAACAUGCUCCUGCUCUCCCAGACAAGCUGGAGAAUACAUAAGUGGACCAUGACCUCACUACAUGGAUACUGAACUACCUCACCGACCGACCACAGUAUGUAAGAACUCAGGGCUGUGUGUCGGACAGGGUCGUCUGCAGUACGAGGGCCCCACAGGGAACGGUUCUGGCUGGAGUGGAAUUGGCUUUGAAAGAGAUGCAGUGAGUAUCCAGGUGAGUUAGAGAUUUGAGUUGGCUGACCUGAGUUGUGCUGUGUUUGAGAGAGUGUGAGAUGGCUGGAGGGCAGGCAGGUAAGAAUCAGAGAGGUUUUCAGAUUGGAGAGAUUGUCUGAGAGAAACUGGAGCUGAUGGUAAGGGGCGUGGUGAGUCCAGGAAGGCUGUGGCACACGAAAACAAGGUAAGCACUGUACAAAGUGACAAUAGCAUGGACUAUGGAGCCAAUUACCAACUUGAGGUAGUUGAAAAACUGGCAGUGAAGGAGAGUCAAUGUGGAGCUUAAAUCCUCAACCAGGUUAUCCUGAAUCAACUCCAGGUGUGCAGGCUGCUGGAGAGACAACGGACCUGCCCAGGGGCGGAGACAAAGGGAACUCGGGAACUUGAACAGAUAAACCAAGGGCUCAAAUAACGUCUGAUAUGA